CAUGGUACUAUUUUGUUAAGAUUUUAUCGGUUAUGGAUGGGCAUGCGCGGGAUUAGUUAGUUGGUAGGGUAACGGCCUACCAAGGCAUCGAUCCUUAGGGGAACUGAGAGGUUUAUCCCCCACACUGGUACUGAGACACGGACCAGACUCCUACGGGAGGCAGCAGUGAGGAAUAUUGGUCAAUGGUCGGGAGACUGAACCAGCCAAGUCGCGUGAAGGAAGACGGUAUUAUGUAUUGUAAACUUCUUUUACAGGGGAAUAAAAUGCGGGACGCGUCCUGUUUUGUAUGUACCCUGAGAAUAAGCAUCGGCUAACUCCGUGCCAGCAGCCGCGGUAAUACGGAGGAUGCGAGCGUUAUCCGGAUUUAUUGGGUUUAAAGGGUGCGUAGGUGGGAUAUUAAGUCAGCGGUGAAAUCCCGAUGCUCAACAUCGGAACUGCCGUUGAAACUGAUAUUCUUGAGUGUGAACAAGGUAGGCGGAAUUCGUAGUGUAGCGGUGAAAUGCAUAGAUAUUACGAAGAACACCGAUAGCGCAGGCAGCUUACCGGGCCACAACUGACACUGAGGCACGAAAGUGUGGGUAUCAAACAGGAUUAGAUACCCUGGUAGUCCACACAGUAAACGAUGAAUACUAGGUGUUUGCGAUAUACGGCAAGCGCCCGAGCGAAAGCGUUAAGUAUUCCACCUGGGGAGUACGCCGGCUUCCGUGAAACUCAAAUGAAUUGACGG
rnacentral:rRNA from 1 species